AUUGAACGCUGGCGGCAUGCUUUACACAUGCAAGUCGAACGGCAGCGCGGGCUUCGGCCUGGCGGCGAGUGGCGAACGGGUGAGUAAUGCAUCGGAACGUGCCCAGUAGUGGGGGAUAGCCCGGCGAAAGCCGGAUUAAUACCGCAUACGACCUGAGGGUGAAAGCGGGGGACCGAAAGGCCUCGCGCUAUUGGAGCGGCCGAUGUCGGAUUAGCUAGUUGGUGGGGUAAAGGCUUACAAAGGCGACGAUCCGUAGCUGGUCUGAGAGGACGACCAGCCACACUGGGACUGAGACACGGCCCAGACUCCUACGGGAGGCAGCAGUGGGGAAUUUUGGACAAUGGGGGCAACCCUUAUCCAGCCAUGCCGCGUGCGGGAAGAAGGCCUUCGGGUUGUAAACCGCUUUUGUUCGGGAAGAAAUCCUCUGGGCUAAUACCCCGGGGGGAUGACGGUACCGGAAGAAUAAGCACCGGCUAACUACGUG
rnacentral:rRNA from 1 species